GCUCAACUGCUGAGCCACACGGCCGGGUUCUCUAUUACUUCCUAACUAUUUGGGGUUACUAUCUAAAGAGGAUUUAAAAUCAUAUUUUCUGUCCUCUUCCUCUUUUUGUUCAUAGUUGUACAGUCUUUUCUCCAUGUCUAACCUAGGAAACUAUAUAGUCCUCGUAUAUGUGCUUGUCAGCAUUGAUCCCGGCCAGUGCCUUACUGUGUUGGACAACGAUUGGACUUUAGUUUGAGAAGAGGAAAGCUAAAGAUUUAUUUUCAUAUCAAUCCACUAGGGACCUCACAUGUUGUCACAUUUAUUACGGCCCCCAAAUCACUUUAUUCUUAGGCAGUGACUUGUGGAACAUUCAUGUAAAUCUAGUCUCGUCCUUCUCCCCGUGUGUAAGUCCGCGUUCAACCUGGUGGUUUUUGACAGCCCCACUGCUGUUUAAAAGGCAUGGCCCCAUGUGACCGUAUUGUCUUCAACCCGGUCACGUGAGACACUUUACGGUUCUGGGUCUCACAUUUGGUUUGUUUUUCUUUGGAGCUUUACUGGAAACCAAACACUAUUGCGUACAAGCUGCAGAAGCAGGAGGGGAAGUUGGCAAGAAUCAACUGCUUUCUGUUUGGUCUGUCUGAGGCAGCUGACCUUUUGGAAGGAAAUCGCUGCUCUUUGCUUCUUCCUGUAACAGUGCAGCCUGUGAAAGAGCAUCGACACAGAAGCCGUUAUCCUGGCUGAUGUCUCGGGCGAAAGCGCCGUUCGCGUUGCGAUGGGAGUUUCUCUGCGCACCUGCUGUAUGUUGUAGGGACAGUCACUGGCAUUCGUAGUGCUAAGCUGUGUGCCGAUAUCCCAGGAGACACAGAGCCCGAGAGAAUCUGUUUCUAGAAAAAGUAGUUUGUUUUAGCAAAAGCAGCUGUAUUUUCUUGCAAAGUGCCCGUGUUAAUGCUGUGGUAAAAGUUACUUUGUGCACGGGCUUAAUUCUUCUUAAUGUUGAAGGUCCUGAUGUCAUUAUUAUUUCUUAGACUGGGUAACCUUUUUGUCACCAAGAGGCGGAACACGUUGACUUUCUAAGACAAGAAAAGUACAUGAAAUAACAUGACCAACCACCACAAGUCCUCAAGACAAAGGGAGCAUGGUAGAGGGGAGAAGGACAGCCUCGCGGGCCAGACUGCCCAUAUGUUGGCGCCCGCAGAAGUACGGGAUCUGGAGCAAAUACGUCACCUCCAAAAGAAACCUGUCCCCAUCGAAAGUCACUGUUAUCUGUUACCUCAGCCCUUGGCAACCACCGAUCUGCUGUGUCCCUGUGGGCUUUCCUAUUCUGGACAUUUCAUAUAAAUGGAAUUUAUAAUAUGUAGCCUUUUACGUCUGGCUUCUUUUGCUUAGCGUAAUGUUUUCAAAGUUCAUCCAUGUUGUAGUAUGUCAGUACUUUAUUCCUUCAGACAUAAGAAUAAUAUUCCAUUUAAUCCAUUUUAUGUUUCCAUUCAUAUUCAUAUUACUCCUUCUUCUGUUGAUGGACCCUUGGGUUAUUUCUACUUUUUGGCUAUUAUGAAUGCUGCUGCUAUGAACAUCUGUGCACGAGUUUUUGCAGACAUGUUUUCAGUUCUCUUAGGCAUAUAUCUGGGAGUGGAACUGCUAGGUCCUAUGGAAAUUCCUUGUUUAACCUUCUGAAGAAUUGCCAGCUUGCUUUCCAAAGUUGCACCAUUUUACAAUCCUGUUUAAUUUGCCGACUCUCGGUUCUCUCAUCUAUAAAGUGGGGAUUGUAUAGUGCCGACCUCGUAGGGUUUUGUGAGGAUUAAAUGAGUAGGUUCAGAGAAGCGCUUACGGUAAUAAAUCAUAUAGUAGGUGUUCUGUGAGUGGUAACUCUGAUGGUGGGUAAUAACACUAAUAAAUGUUACUUUAAUUCA